UACAGAGGUGGCAAGCGUUGUUCGGAAUUACUGGGCGUAAAGCGCGCGUAGGCGGCUUUUCAAGCCGAUUGUGAAAUCCCCCGGGCUUAACCUGGGAACUGCAGUCGGGACUGUCUAGCUAGAGUAUGGGAGAGGGAAGUGGAAUUUCAGGUGUAGCGGUGAAAUGCGUAGAUAUCUGAAGGAACAUCAGUGGCGAAAGCGACUUCCUGGACCAAUACUGACGCUCAUGUGCGAAAGCGUGGGGAGCAAACAGG
rnacentral:rRNA from 1 species